CCUACGGGAGGCAGCAGUGGGGAAUUUUUCGCAAUGGGGGCAACCCUGACGAAGCAAUGCCGCGUGGAUGAAGAAGGCCUUCGGGUUGUAAAGUCCUUUCGUGGGGGACGAAAAGGUGGUUCCUAAUACGAGCUGCUGUUGACGUGAACCCAAGAAGAAGCACCGGCUAACUCCGUGCCAGCAGCCGCGGUAAUACGGGGGGUGCAAGCGUUAAUCGGAAUCACUGGGCGUAAAGGGUGCGUAGGCGGUACGUUAGGUCUGUCGUGAAAUCCCCGGGCUCAACCUGGGAAUGGCGGUAGAAACCGGCGAACUAGAGUAUGGGAGAGGGUGGUGGAAUUCCAGGUGUAGCGGUGAAAUGCGUAGAGAUCUGGAGGAACAUCAGUGGCGAAGGCGGCCACCUGGCCCAAUACUGACGCUGAGGCACGAAAGCGUGGGGAGCAAACAGGACUAGAUACCCUGGUAGUCCACGCCCUAAACGAUGAAUACUAGAUGUUUGGUACCUAGCGUACUGAGUGUCGUAGCUAACGCCGAUAAGUAUUCCGCCUUGGGAAGUACGGCCCGCAAGGUUAAAACUCAAAAGGAAAUUGACGG
rnacentral:rRNA from 1 species